rnacentral:tRNA from 1 species
GCCUGUUUAGCUCAGCGGUAGAGCAACGCAUUCGUAACGCGUAGGUCUGGAGUUCAAAUCUCCAAACAGGCU